GGAUGAACGCUGGCGGCGUGCCUAAUACAUGCAAGUCGAGCGAACGGACGAGAAGCUUGCUUCUCUGAUGUUAGCGGCGGACGGGUGAGUAACACGUGGAUAACCUACCUAUAAGACUGGGAUAACUUCGGGAAACCGGAGCUAAUACCGGAUAAUAUUUUGAACCGCAUGGUUCAAAAGUGAAAGACGGUCUUGCUGUCACUUAUAGAUGGAUCCGCGCUGCAUUAGCUAGUUGGUAAGGUAACGGCUUACCAAGGCAACGAUGCAUAGCCGACCUGAGAGGGUGAUCGGCCACACUGGAACUGAGACACGGUCCAGACUCCUACGGGAGGCAGCAGUAGGGAAUCUUCCGCAAUGGGCGAAAGCCUGACGGAGCAACGCCGCGUGAGUGAUGAAGGUCUUCGGAUCGUAAAACUCUGUUAUUAGGGAAGAACAUAUGUGUAAGUAACUGUGCACAUCUUGACGGUACCUAAUCAGAAAGCCACGGCUAACUACGUGCCAGCAGCCGCGGUAAUACGUAGGUGGCAAGCGUUAUCCGGAAUUAUUGGGCGUAAAGCGCGCGUAGGCGGUUUUUUAAGUCUGAUGUGAAAGCCCACGGCUCAACCGUGGAGGGUCAUUGGAAACUGGAAAACUUGAGUGCAGAAGAGGAAAGUGGAAUUCCAUGUGUAGCGGUGAAAUGCGCAGAGAUAUGGAGGAACACCAGUGGCGAAGGCGACUUUCUGGUCUGUAACUGACGCUGAUGUGCGAAAGCGUGGGGAUCAAACAGGAUUAGAUACCCUGGUAGUCCACGCCGUAAACGAUGAGUGCUAAGUGUUAGGGGGUUUCCGCCCCUUAGUGCUGCAGCUAACGCAUUAAGCACUCCGCCUGGGGAGUACGACCGCAAGGUUGAAACUCAAAGGAAUUGACGGGGACCCGCACAAGCGGUGGAGCAUGUGGUUUAAUUCGAAGCAACGCGAAGAACCUUACCAAAUCUUGACAUCCUUUGACAACUCUAGAGAUAGAGCUUUCCCCUUCGGGGGACAAAGUGACAGGUGGUGCAUGGUUGUCGUCAGCUCGUGUCGUGAGAUGUUGGGUUAAGUCCCGCAACGAGCGCAACCCUUAAGCUUAGUUGCCAUCAUUAAGUUGGGCACUCUAAGUUGACUGCCGGUGACAAACCGGAGGAAGGUGGGGAUGACGUCAAAUCAUCAUGCCCCUUAUGAUUUGGGCUACACACGUGCUACAAUGGACAAUACAAAGGGCAGCGAAACCGCGAGGUCAAGCAAAUCCCAUAAAGUUGUUCUCAGUUCGGAUUGUAGUCUGCAACUCGACUACAUGAAGCUGGAAUCGCUAGUAAUCGUAGAUCAGCAUGCUACGGUGAAUACGUUCCC
rnacentral:rRNA from 1 species